UCCAGCUGUCUGGCCAAGGAGCUUCAGUGUCUUCUAGCAAGCACCCCAGAGGCAGAAGACGGUCAUCCGUGGUACCGGACUGCGGCGAACAAGCUGACUGCGCAGUCACGUGGGGCUGACGGUGGGUCAUGUGACCAGGCUCUGGAUUUGGCUUGCGGAGAGGAGUGUUUUCUUACACCCAGAAAGGACCUGAAAGGCGGAAGACACCUGUGCUCCGCAGAGCAGAACGUGGGAGGAAGGGCGGCAUAUUAAGGUAGGAGCUCAAGAAGCAGAGAGUCUACCUGCCUGACGCCUUGGUGGAAAGGAGCAGCGGUUGCUAUUGGAGGAAGUGGGUGCAAGGACGGCAGAUGCCAUCCCUAAGAGGUGGUGACUGAGACUAGAUGCGGGUGCAGUAUUCAGAAAGUGGGGAUGGCUGAUACCAGCUCAAAACUGGCAGAGGGUGGAGGAGGACAGGAGAAGGGAACACAUACAUCUGCCAUUUUCUCCAAGGCUCCAGCUGACUGGGGAUGCAAGAGAGGAAUGAACCUCAAUCCUGGCAGUUCUAGGAAAAGGAGGAGGAGACAUAGACUGGAGGAGAGGAAACCUAGAUGCUGUGGGUCUUUCACCUAGGAUUUCUCAUUAGGAUACUCCAAGCUUCUCGACCCCCAACGGGAUUCCUGGAUCUCAGCCCCAUGCAGCAGAAUCUCAUUCCCAUUGAGGGACACAAAGUGGAUUGCUGCUCCAUGUGACACUCUCCCUGCUCUCUUGGGCCUCAGAGGAGGGUCUUUCUGGGGAGCACCUACAGAAACUGCUUCAUGGAUAGUUUCCUAAGUUCCCCUCUGCAUACCCUUUGCCCUCUUGUGUUGUGAUCUCUGCUUAUUCCUUAGGAUGUGUUUCUUUGGUCCCAUCCCAGGUAGCAACCCCAUGGUAAGUCCUUGUCCUGUUUCACAUUGAGUAUCCUUCUUUCCCCCUGCCCCAUGCAUCCACUGGGUACCAAGUGAAAGAAAGUGGUUCCUCUACCCACAAUACUUCUGGCACAGAAUGUGUGGAUUUUUCACACCAAGCAAUUCUCCUAUUCUUUGAGGACACCAGUUAGGUAUCCUACAAUUUAAUUCAAUUCAGACACUACCCAGAGUUAGUGCAGACUUCUCUGGUUAAGGGCUCAUUCCCAUAAGACUGCCCUCUCCCACUUCAGACAGCAAUCACAAGUAAUGGAUCUCCACCUUACCCACACUUCUGUCUGACUUAGCUCCCAGUUGGGA